GCGGAGCGGGGGGUGGCUUUUGGGGCUCGAGCCCCGAAUGUUUUGUCAAAAGCCCCGAAUCUUUUCAGAUCUGUAAAAUGAAUUCAUCCAGGACGCUAGGUGGCGGCACUCAGCUUUAACUCUCCGGUCCCCCACUCAACUGAAAAUGAAUAAGAGAUGCGUGUUGUUGAAGGCAAAAUAACAUUCUGAAUCUCCCCACAUUAAACGCAUUUUCAAAGUGUCUUUAUUAUUACAGUGCCUUCGUUAUUACUGUAAGUGUAUAUUUAUAGUUAUGUGAUGUAAAUACUGUUAAAUAGCGUCAACUGAUAUAUAAUAUCUGCAUGGCUAACGUCUAACUUACUGUGGUGCUCUGGUCUAGUCUGCCUCAUUGGUCAUUGAUGGAUAUACGAUUUAUAUUUUUAAAGACGUCAGAAGUAAGAAGUGCAAAUAGGAAGAGAGGAGGGUGGAGAGAGAUCACAGACAGACAGAUAGACAGAAAGAGAGAGAAACGCUUCCAUAAGCAGUUUCAAAAUGACAAUACCAGUGUUGGGUAAGUUACUCAAAAAAGUAAUUAAUUACUAGUUACUAAUUACAUCUUCAAUCAUGUAAUUAAAUUACUUUACAAAUUACUCCAAAAAGUAUUUAAUUAUUACUAAUUACUUUCUAAAUCCUAUUUAGUACAUGAUACAAGGAUAGGCUUGAAAUGGCUCGAAGAAACAAUAUAUAAAAGUACAUCAAUUAUUCUGGUCCCACUUUAGGGUUCAUUUCUCUCUAUUAAUUAACUAUUAACUACUUUUGCCUCAAUAUACUCCAACUACUGCUUAUUAAUACUAAAGUAGUUGUUUAUUUUAAGUAUUUGUAGAAAUGGG